rnacentral:sRNA from 2 species
GCUUCUUGUUACCCCUUUUGGCGCUUUGGAUAAGUAGUUCACUUAGCUAUUUUUUUUU